rnacentral:lncRNA from 1 species
GCUCCGCUCCGGCGAUCCCUUCGCUCUCCACCCUCGGCCAGCCCCUCCUGUCCUCCAUCAGGCCUCGCUGAGGAUGCCUCCUAGGUUCCAAAGCGCGAGUUGUACCUGAGCUUGACAUUCAUUACGUCUCAGGGUACAAAAGCCAUGCCCGCGGGGAGAGGGAGAAAAUUUCCUACAGGGGCCUCAAGACUGCGUUUCAGGAAGCCCUAGGACCCACUGAUCCUGCAGCUGCGCCUCUCACUUGCCUCAGUUCCUGAGCUGAAACAAUGGAAUCUAGCAGAAGUUGCCUUUCCAGAUUCAAAUGGCUUCUAUAGUGGAUUCCCACAAAAGAAAUUAGCAGAAGAAAGAAUUUUGCUAAAUUUCUUUUCAGAAAGACUUUACUCAUUUAUCAGCAAUAAAUAGUAUCUGUUAUGAGUUAAAUUGUGUCUCCAAAAAGAUACGCUGGGGUAAUAGCCACUGGAAACUUUGAAUGUAAUCUUAUUGGAAAUAGGGUCUUUGCUAAUAUUAUCAAAUUAAGAUUGAUAUCUCUG